rnacentral:misc_RNA from 1 species
GAUGAAGAACGCAGUGAAAUGCGAUAAGUAAUGUGAAUUGCAGAAUUCAGUGAAUCAUCGAAUCUUUGAACGCACCUUGCACCCUUUGGCAUUCCGAAGGGUAUGCUCGUUUGAGUGUCAUUGUACUCUCACACUUCUGAUCCUUUGGAUUGGGAGCGGUGGACUUGGGUGUUGCUGCUUUACUGUGGCUCACCUCAAAUGCAUUCGUGCAACUCUUGGUUGGACAUAGUACGGCGUGAUAAGUAUCUUCGCCGGCACCUCGCAAGAGGGUGGCUGAUCAGGAGCUCUGUGCUUUCCAACUGUCUUCAGACAACAACUGACAACUUGACCUCAAAUCGAGUAGGACCACCCGCUGAACUUAAGCAUAUCAAUAAGCGGAGG